rnacentral:lncRNA from 1 species
UUGCUAUAAAAUAUUAAUGAAACAUUCAUUGUUGAGAAUUACAACACAUGGUUUUAAAGAUGAUGGAUGGAAUGAGGAACAGGAUCUCAUAGAGAGGCUUGCUUGGGCGUAGUGGGCUAUGCCCACUGAGCCCAUGUGCUAGUCAUAGCCCGAAAUUUGGGCUGUGACAAGACUACGUGGGCCACGGUCUCAACCAAUUAAUUACUAAAAAUCAUAAUUGCUCUAGGACUACUACAAUACUCUAACUUUAACAAGAUUUUUGACCACCUUUUAGGCCGAACUGGGUGAAAUGGUAAACAUGAAAAUUGUAGCUUUUUCUCUUAAAUUUCCAAUGGUGUAAGAAUAAUUUCAUUUGGAUCUUUGUAGAGAGAGUUAUGGUCAAAAUACCAAAACAUAUGUGGUGAAAGUCUGCACCUCAAAAUUGCUCUCCCUCUUUCAAUAAAAUUCUUCCUUCAUUAAACCUACAAAAGCACAAAUAAAUCAAUAACAACCUAUGUUAAUCACAUUAACACCAAAUUAAUCAUAAAAUUAACUAAGAUUAGAUUGACUCACCUAAAUUAGCUAAUUUAAAUUUAUUUAAAUAAAACUUACUAAUUUCUAUGCAUUAUUAUAAGAUCUAAGCUAAAAUACUAUCAAAAUUAAGUUCAAAGAACUCUAUAUCAUAGAGUUAUCAUGCAGUAAGCUCUAAACCACAAAAACAAAAAGAACCAUCUCAGACGUCAUUGCUUUUGUGUGAUCACUUCAUAAUAUUUGUUGAUGACAAAGGUAAUCAUAAGGCUAGAUGUAGUCAUUGUGAUAACGUUUUAUGUGCUGAUACAAAAAAAAAAGUGGAACAUUUUCUUUAAAUAAUCAUGUUAAGGUUUGUCCAAAGUUGAAAAUGCUCCAUGCCAAUAAUGAUCAAAUGGACAUGUUUUUUCAUCAGGAGAUGGUUUUUUGGAUAGUUGGAAGUUUGAUCAAGAUGCAAUUAAGAGAAGUUUAUCUUAGAUGAUCAUUGUAGAUGAGUUGCCUUUUAGAUUUGUGGAAGGUCAAGGGUAUAGGAAACACAUGAAAGAAGCAUGUUACAUAUUUCGUAUACCAUCAUGAUGGACCAUUGCUAGGGAUUGUUAUAACGUUUAUAUUGAUGAAAAAACUCAUAUUAAAAACUUUUUGAGAACAUGUCCUGGUAGAAUAUGUCUCACCACAAACAUAUGGGCUUUGGUACAAAAAAUUAAUUACUUGUGUUGGAUUGUUCAUUUUGUUGAUAAACAUUGAAAGUUGCAGAAAAAGAUUUUAAACUUUUGUUCCAUUAGUCACAAAGGUCAAGUUAUUGGAAAGGCAAUUGAUAGAUGUUUGGUUGAUUAGGGGAUUCAAAAGGUUUUUUUCAUUACUGUUGAUAAAUGCUAGUUCCAAUGAUGUUGCCAUAAGAUCUUUGAAGAAAAAUUUUAAUGUUGUCGAAACUAGUAUUUUUAAAGGUAAAUUUUUUCAUAUGAGAUGUGUUGCACAUAUUGUUAAUCUUAUUAUGACUGAUGGAUUAAAGGAUAUCAAUUACUCAAUUGUUAGUGUUAAAGCAAUAGUGAAAUAUGUUAAACAAUCUUCUUUUAGAUUAAACAAGUUUAUGGAGUGUGCUAUUAAUAGAGGAGUUAAUAGUAUAUGUGUGCACUAGAUGGAAUUCUACUUUUUUAAUGUUAAAUACAACUAAGAAAUUUGAGAAGGCUUUUUGCAUCAUUUGAAUAUUGUGAUAGUAGUUACAAAAGUGAGCUAGUGAGGAAUGGAGAUUACGUGUCCGAUGAUUAAGAUUGGGCAAUUGUUAGGAGGAUUUCACUUUUCUUGAAAGAGUUUUAUGAUACGACCGUUGACUAUUUUAGGUACAUCUUAUUUCACUGCAAAUUCUUUUCUUGAUUCUAUUUCUGAUGUGUAUGGCACUUUGAUUGAAUGGCAUCAAAGUGAUGAUGUUGAUUUGAAGUCUAUGACAAUGAGAAUGAAAACCAGAUUUAACAAGUAUUAGGAGUAUAUGGAAAAAAUGAAUUUGGUGUUGUACAUUGCCUCGAUUCUUUAAUAUGAGAAAAAAGCUUACUUAUGUUAAAUUUACUUUGUAAGAUAUGGAUUCCACCAAGCAAGCUUUGUUGAUGUUUUCUUUAGUGAAAAGAACAAUGGAUGAGUUGUUUAAAUGUUAUAAAAAUAUGUUGCAACCUCAACCUCAACCUCAAUCUCAAUCUCAUGUUUGUGAAAAUGAUCAAAAGUCUCAAAUGUCAAUAAGAAAAGCCACUGGUGGCAAAAAUGGGCAUGACAAUGCUGUUGUUUUGAGUGGUAAGGACCUAAUAACUACAAAGAAAAAAUUAGGUGCUUUUAAGAGGCAUCAGUUAAACAAUGGCUUAGAGGAGCAAAAAUCAAAAUUGGAUAAAUAUUUAUCUGAGUCGAUGGAUGAUGAUGAAGAUACUGACUUUGAUGUUCUCAUGUAUUGGAAACUUAAUUAGCAUAGGUUUCCUAUACUUGCUGCUAUUGCUCGUGAUGUAUUAGCGAUUCUUGUCUCAACAAUUACUUCAGAAUGCACUUUUAGUACUAGUGGACAUGUGCUUGAUGCAUAUAGGAGUUCUUUGACUCCUAAGGUUGUGCAAGCACUUAUUUGUGCUAAAGAUUGGCUAAAUGGAAAAGCAUUGGUUAUUCGAAGUAGAUUGAGGAUGAUUUGGACAAGAUUGAUAAACUUGAUUUCGGUAAUUAUUUUUUUGUUUCUUGAAUUCUUUGUUUAAUUUUUCGUAAUAUAAUAUCAUCCUAUAUUGUAUCAUUUUUUUUCUCAAUUUAUAUCUUUGUUUCUUUAGUUCUUUGUUUAAAACUUUUACCAUAUUUGUUAUUUUAUUUUUUAAGAUUUGUCAAAGAUUACAUUAGAGCCCAUACGUGAGACUAAGGUUGAGUCAGGAUUUGACUCUGAGUAACGUGUUAUUAUUUAUAUAGACUAUUUUCAUUUUUUGGGUAAUAUUAUCAUUAAGUGUUAUGCAUAUUUACAUUUAUAAUUUAUUUAGAUUAUCUUAAUUUAAUCAUUUAUACUAAUUAUUUUAUAUUUUAACAAUUUUAGGAUUAUAUUUUGAAAAAUCACUAAAUUGGAGUUGGAGGUCCAAGGUCCAUCAAAUCUAUGUUUUAAAAUUUAGUAAUUUAUAUUGUGUAACUUCUAACUUUUAUGAAUUUGUAGUAUAUAUAAUUUAUUAAUUUUAUAUUGUACUUCUCGUAUUUAGAUUAAUUGCAUUGUAUAACAUACUAAAUUGCAUUGUAUAUUAUGUACAAUUUAUGAAAUGUUUAUUCCCUUAUCUUUUCCAUUUUAUUUAAUAUUUUUGUCAGUCAAUUUAAUAUAUUUUAUGUCACGAUUCAAUACUCCCCUUGAGUCAUUCACAACCGCCGCGACGUCCCGAUUGACAUUCUUCGCCCGGAAUGCCAACUUGAAUCUCGCAAGGCUUUAAUAUCAGUUUUCGCACCUCCCCUGUGAGCAACAGUUGUUAAGUAUCAUGUUUUGAGAGAUUAUAAACUAUUUUCAAAUCAAAACAAUAGAAAAAUAAUUUUUUUCUCACAGGGGCAUUUUGGUCAAUUUUCCUCAAAAAUCUCGAAACCAGCUAAAAAUGUAGUAUGCAAGUGGAAAACACAUAUUUCAUAAUAAAAAAUAAGUUUAGAUGUCUAAAACAUUCAUUUGAAAUGAAAUUAUGACUAUUUGAAUAUAAUAAAAAUAUUCUAUAAAAUAUUCUAUUUUCUUAUAAAACAAUAUUUAUAGAGUUACCGGUAAAUAAUUUUUGUGGCAUAAAAGCUAAAUAAAUUCAUACAUACUGUAAUACAGAUAACCAAAGUAUAAAAUUUAAUUUACAGUGACACGUGGCCCCACGAAUGACCAAAAGUAUCAAAAGAGUUAAACCUACAGUUUUUGAGGAUGCAAGUCCAAUUGUAGCCCUCAAUGAAAUGAGCUAUCUACCGACUAUCCUAAGCCUGAAAAGGGUGGAAAGGAGGGUGGUAAGAUUACAUAAUCCUAGUGAGUAAACAAAUACUAUCUAAAAUAUCUGAAGCUGAGUAAAUGGAGACAGAUAAAAUAGUUUAACAUACUGUAAUUCAUCAUCUUUCAACUCAUUUCAACCAAAUAAAAUCAAUUCAUAUAAAUUGAGUAAUCAACAUGGCUUAUAAAUUUCUUAAAACUUUGGCUCGUGCCAAAAUCAUUCUCAUACUCAGUUAUUAGGGAUACCUUGGCCAAUGGUUAUCCCAACCAAGACCGCCAAGGCUAUUAAAAAGUUAUGUACGCAUAAAUCAUGUUUUUUAUUUUGAAAACAUAGCCGUUUCUUGACGUUGGCUGAGUUCACCCUCACGUGAUAGUUUAGCGUGAAGUUAACUCUAAAGUUUUAACCUCAGGAGUUAUCCAACCACGCCUCUCAUAUUGAGGUAUGAAUAUAAUAGGGUUAUUGUGCCCCUCUAAUAGGUUGGUCCACGGAACCCGUCCACUGCAGCGACCAAUUUAUAAUCCACCAAUUCAAUAAAAUUCAACAGCAUGACAUGACAAUUAUUUUAUUUUACAACCUCUCAAGGCAAAUUAACAGUUCAUACAUUUUCAACACCAAUUCAGCCAUUCCUGCAAAUAUUAUCAUAAGCCAUUCAAUUCAAAUCAUGAUUUAUAACACAGCGAUUAGUCUCCAAUUACUUUAUUUUCAAAACCAUCAUUCAAUUUCAAAACAAUUUUAUAAAAUCAUUUCAUUUAAAUCACAUUUUAGUUACAAAACACAAAGAUUUACCAUUUAACUCAUUUUCCAUAAAAUCACAAAAUCGGAUAAAAACCACUUUAGAUAAUUAAGAUGAUAGUAAGGUUACUCACUAUUUCAGGAGUCUAAUUUCGAGUACUCCAAUUCUUGAUCCUUGGGAACUAUCUCUUUACUUUUGCCAGAAAGCUCACCACCUAGACAUAAUGCAUAAUAAGCCAUUUGCUACAUUUGUGCUAAACCGUUGUAAAACCAAUUCGGGCUUAUACUAAUGUAUGAAAUGGGAUGUGAAAUACUCGGGUAACUAUCUAAAUACGGUGUUCAAUAUAAAUUCAAUUAUGUACCUAAAUAAAAUGGUAUUGGCCUAAUUCGAUCUAUCACCUGAUUAAUUGGCCAAUACGUCGAAUUUAACUUCAAUUAACUCCAUUUUUCUUCCAAUUCUCCAAACCAUCAAACACAAGUCAAAUAACAUAAAAUUUAGCAAAAUCAUCCUCACAUUUCUUCUUGAGAAUCUCUGCCAUGGUGAGUGCAUCAACACUAUGAUUUUUCCUACUUGAUUUUCUCACCAUAAUUCAUCAUUUCCUAACCAAUUCACUUGAAAUAAAAUCAAAUCCACCAUCAACACUCUACAAGGAAGAUUCGGCUAAUGAUGAACUCAUGAGAAAUAUGUGAAUUUCAAGCUUAAUUCUUACACUUAACACCAUAAACAACUAAAAACAUCCAUAUUUCUUAAAAAUCUAUCUAAAUCAUCAUCAAAUUCUCCCUCCUAGGGUUUGAUCAGCACACUAUCCUUCAUGAUAUCUUGUGAUUCAACCAUAGAAAAUAAGAAAAAAAUGCUUAAGAAAGAUAGAUCACAAGCUUAAUUGAAAAAUCUUAUCUUUUUUUUUUUUCACUUCUCAUUGAAUUUUCACACUUUUCCCUUGAAUUUUUCCACCUAGGGUUUUGUUCUUCCUUUUCUUCCUUUGUUCUUGCUUUGACCGGCC